UUUUUAGCCAAUUAAAUACUUUGAGCCAACACAUAUAUAUAGACAUAUAUAUUUGCCAUAGAAGUUUGAGCUUUUUUAUAUGGAUCAUCACCCCCAUCAUUACCUAUGAUGAAUUUUACAGUAAUUUUCACAUUACUUCCCCAAAUGGAUUCUAUUAAUUAAUUAAAGAAAAGGACCUUCACUCCAUCUAAAUUCCUAACUCUCCCUACAUCAACAAUUUCCAGAUUAAAGCUAAGAGUUCAGAGAAUUGAGAUUUCUGGCCUAGGAAAUCUUUUGUAAUUACAUCUUUUGGCAUUGUCAGAUUAAAACACACAUAACGAAAAGAAAAUAAUUGAUUCAGCAUAUUUAUUCAGUCUUUUACUAUUUAGCAUUUAAUACAAUGCCAAGAACUCAGAAUUACUUAAUUCAGCUCUGCUAACUACCAGUUAUUGCCAUAUUUCACAUUCUCCUUGUGGUAUAUUGUAUGACUGCAAUAUAAUACAGUACAAUGACAGCUGUCAUUAUUAAGCAGCAAGGGACAUCACCAUCACACUAUCAAGUUGAAAGAAGAAAAGAGAACCCUUUGCAUAUGAGUCACAAAAUUCUUUCACUUAUAAAAGUUCCUUGGUUCUAAGCCACAAAUGUCCAAUAAUAGUAAAUAGGUGAACAGAUUUUUUUAAAACAUGGUAUUAUCAGAGAAACAAGUGUCUAAGAAUGUUAUCUCCCUUUCAGAUCUCCAUACAUUUUUUAAAUUCUAAAUAUAAGAAUAAUACAUGAAUAUUACAGAAAUUAUAAAAAAUGUAAAAGAUAUUUGGAAAACUUGAGAAACACCUCAAUCUACUACCCAGAGAAAAUUAUUGUAAAUGUUUUGGUAAAAGUCUUUUCAGAUCUUUUUCUGUGUCCUCUAUGUUUAUAUACGCAUGUGCGUGCGAAAAUAGUUACUAUCACAAUGUUUGCAGUAUUCAAUAAUCUGCUUUUUCUCAUGGGAUACAGUGAACAUGUAUCCAUAUUAUAAAUCUUCGAAACAUAUAAGUCUUCAAAAACAUGUAGAAAAAUCACAUCAUAUACAUAUACCAUAAAUUUAACCAAUCCUCACCACAGUAUACUUAUUUUUCUAAUUUCUCACCUUUACAAAUACCGUUCCAAUAAAUUUUUUAGUACCUAACUCAGAAUCCUUUCUUUUCUUUUUCUAGACAGAGAGAGCAGUACACACACAACCACAAAUAGGGGGUGGGGGUUGGUGCAGGACACCAAGAGUGAGGGAAAGCAGGUAACCCAACAUAUUCCAGGGGUGAGGCUCCAUCUCACGACUCUGAGAUCACAAUCUGACCUGAAAGCAAGAGUUGGAUGCUUAGCCAACUGAGCCACCCAGGCACCCCAGAAUGUUUUCUUAAUAUA
rnacentral:lncRNA from 1 species